rnacentral:rRNA from 1 species
GACGAACGCUGGCGGCGUGCUUAACACAUGCCAGUCGAACGGAAAGGCCCUGCUUUUGUGGGGUGCUCGCGUGGCGAACGGGUGAGUAACACGUGAGUAACCUGCCCUUGACUUUGGGAUAACUUCAGGAAACUGGGGCUAAUACCGGAUAGGAGCUCCUGCUGCAUGGGGGGGGUUGGAACGUUUCGGCGGUUGGGGAUGGACUCGCGGCUUAUCAGCUUGUUGGUGGGGUAGUGGCUUACCAAGGCUUUGACGGGUAGCCGGCCUGAGAGGGUGACCGGCCACAUUGGGACUGAGGUACGGCCCAGACUCCUACGGGAGGCAGCAGUGGGGAAUAUGGCACAAUGGGGGGAAGCCUGAUGCAGCGACGCUGCGUGCGGGAUGACGGCCUUCGGGUUGUAAACCGCUUUCGGCUGUGACGAAGCGUGAGUGACGGUAAUGGGUAAAGAAGCACCGGCUAACUACGUG